rnacentral:rRNA from 1 species
CGCCUGCUACUUAAACAACAGGUAGAAUCUGCCCAAUGAUCCAUUUAAUGGCCGCAGUAUCCUGACUGUGCUAAGGUAGCAUAAUAAUUUGCCUCGUAAUUGGAGGCUAGAAUGAAGGAUCUGACGAAGGAAACCCUGUCUUGACAUUUGACCUAAAAUUUAAUGUUUAAGUAAAAAAGCUUAGAUUAAGCGAAGGGACGACAAGACCCUAAAAGCUUUUUUUAUUGACGUAAAUCUGAUAAAUUCACCUAAAGGUAACUGUUAAUAAUUUAGCUGGGGCGGCUGUAAUUAAACUUACACAAAUAAUAUACUCACAUAUUUGAUGACACUAAUUAACUUCUCUAGAAACCUAAAAUAAAGUUACUUUAGGGAUAACAGCGCAAUAUCUCAAUAGAGUCCCUAUCGACUGGGAUGAUUGCGACCUCGAUGUUGAAUUGAGAACCUUCCUGAAGCAGUACUCAGGGAAAGGGAGUCUGUUCGACUCUUAACCUCUC